UUUAGUUCUACGAUUUCGUCGACUGCCUUACUGCAGCCAGAGCUGAGUUAGACGUUAACGGAGGCGGUUGGUGAACACGAGAGCUAGUGAAAAGAAGAGUUUGUUUGAUUUGUUUCAGCCCCAGGACUGAGGCGUUCAGGUGGCGUGACUGGCGUGCCCUGUCUGCAAUCCUCCCUUUCAGUAAGUCUCUUCAGCCCCAGGACCGCAGGCGUUGAGGUGGCGUGAAUUC